AAUCCACGUGUUUUAGUUAGUGUGUGACACUCGAGAAAUCGGGGCGUUACACAACCUUCCCCUAAACCAGAGCCCAUACCACCAGUAGAGAGAGAAGCAAGACCAGGAGUCAUAAAUCACCCACAGCGCAACCCCCAAAAGUAGAGAAAAGCCGCAAAGAGAUCAAAACCAGAGAGCUAUUUGUCGUAGAGUUCCGGAAGAGAAAAACGACCAGAAGCUGGAAAUUGAGAGAAAAACGACUAGGAAGCUGGAAUUUGAGCGAAAAACGACCAGGAAGCUGGGAAUUGAAGCAUGGAUUUGUGUUUGGAUAACUUUUUAUGAACUAUGGAGUGGAUUUUGCAUAUAUAUAUAUAUAUAUAUUAUACCAUAUAGUUUCGGUCUUGGUGACUGAUAUAUUGUUGUUCAAAAUUUGAAAAUGAUUUUAUCUGAUCCUUGCUGAAACUGCUGGCUGAACUUCUAUAAGUUAGUAACUAAGUGUGUCUGGCAUUGGAAGUUGAAAUAACUUGUUGUAAAUUGCAGCUAGUGCAAGAUAUCAAGGACAUGGUUGGAGGACUUGGUCUCAUGAUUCUUGAUGUGUAUUUUUUUGAAGUCCUUUCAUUGUCUUGUUUUCUUCAAAUUUAUGUGCAGUUCAUUGAAGGAACGAGAGAGAGUGAUUCCAAUUCAGAUAGUGAAGGGGUUGAUCCAGUGGAAGAUCUGAAUGAAGAAAACAUUAAAGAUGGUGAUUUUUCAAAUUUUUCAGAGCAGGAAUGGCUGCAAUUGCUUCAUAGGAGUUUUAUAAGUUGUUGUAUCUCAGCCAUUGCGAAGGUCUGCACAAGAGGAAGAUACUGAUUAGUAUUUUAGUUUUCUAAAAUUCUUGACUACUAAGGGGAACAAUUGGAAGAUGAAAUGUGAUGUGGUGUAAUAGUAAAGGUUGAGCAAUGAGGAGGAAGCCAGGAUUUUUAUGGGAGCUAAUGAGUUUGUUGAAGCCCUUUUACAGUUUUACAAUCAGCUGUCGAUGAAGGAAAUUUGAUGGCUCAGGAAAUUGGAGCAAUGACUCUCUUCAACCUUGCUGUGAAUAACAACAGGUCAACAUGAAUGGCUCUGGAGCUGGAGCUUCAGUUCCCAGUUCAGCUUUCUUUGACAGCAGCUAGAAGAAGGUUACCUCAAGACUCCCCAACACCAAGGUUUCUGUUGGUCAAUCUGCAAGUGUACAGAAACCUCCGGGUUUUAAAAUAUCGAACCACAGGGAUUGUGAGUGAGAAUUGUGGAUUUAAGCCUAAAGUUUGCAAGUUUUGAAAACAGUAAAAUUCAGAAAUUGAUUUUGGUUGUUGGUAACAAUGGACUUGAAAAAGAGCAAUAUUUAAAGUGUUGAAAAUAACAAUUGAUGGAAAUGCCUUGGGUUAUUAAUCAUCUAAUCCACUCUAGUCUACCUAUCCUAUGCAUGUGAAACCUUGAUUCAUCCCUUGUUGCUUUAGCCUAUGUACUUACUAAUUGAUUUCUCACAAUAGCAAUUCUCCCAAAUUGAAAGUUAAGCCCAAUUCCUUGUGUACUCAAUCAUUCAUUUGAGGUUUUAUAGCAUACGUAUUCAGGCCAACAAAACCCAACCCUCACUGUAUUCGUAGAAGCAAGCAUAGAAGGAUUUAUUCCAAUUCAUGUGCCUAAAUCAUAACAAACUUCCGUUUUGAUUAUAAUCUAGUCUAUAGCAAGUGAGCACUCAAGCUAAACAUGCAUAAUGGAAUUGAAAUACAAGGUUAAAUCAAGAACUCAUGCAUAGAGAUAGGAUUUAGAAAACUAAAGCUUCAUAGAAUCUCAUAAACCUAAAGCAUAAAAGAAAACUAGCCACUCAUGGCUAGAGAAUCCAUACAAGAAAUGUUAAAAACCUGAGAAAGAUCACAAGUUGGAAGCCUCUCACAAGCCCCAAGGUUCUCCUCAGCUUCUAAACUUGAUCCAAAAUGAGUAAAAUGUCUAAGUGUCCCAAAGAAAUUGGCUUAAACCUUAUUUAUAGACAAAACAAACGAGUCUGAGCGCUCAGGCGCCAAUUCAGAGCACCUGAGCGCCAAUUCCAUGCCCAAAACAUGCCUCUGGAAGGCAAUUGGCGCCAAUUGAGCAUGCCUAGGCGCCAAUUCAGAAAUCCUGGAAAAUGCAAUUGGCGCCUAGGCACCAAUGGAGCACGCCUAGGCGCUCUAAGCUCGCUGGAAAGCCCUUUUAUCUUCCUCUUAACUCCUCUUCAAGCCUCUUUAAGCCUUCUUUCAAUUCCAAGCUUCUUGACCUUCCUUCUCCUUCAGUUUCGAACCUGAAAACUUAACCACCAAGCCAAGGAAAUAUCCAGAAGCUCCAAGAGCCUAUUAGCAAAGAGGACACUCAAAUAACAUAGGAAAAUCAUGCAAGUCCUAAACUUACUUAAAAUGCAAGAAAAGUCUCUAUAAAACUACAAAAUUAGCAAAACAAAGUAAAGACACAAAGAAAGAUAAAAAUACAUGAGAAUGCAUGAAACACUACAUGAGACUCAACAAAAAGACUCAAAACAAACAAAGAAAUGACCCUAAAAACACCACUAAAAUAGGGUCAUCAGUUUCUCCUGGAAGCUUCAAAGUAGUUGCUGCAGAACAAACAGAAUGACAAAGAAAAAUAGAUAAUCAUAUCUGCAGUAAGGGAUUGUGCUGCUAAUGUGGAUCUCUAGCCACCCGUUUUCAAUGGGCACCUGAAAGAAUAUUGGAAAUAGUUAAUCAAGUUCAAGUAAAAGAAAUAUCAUGCUAAAUGGAAUGGACCUUCUCUUGGCAGAGUUUGAUAAGAUUAGAACCGAGAAGUUCAACGACCUACUACUUUCCUUGAUACAGCAGACCAAUGAUCUCAGUGUGAUAUGCCGCAAACACCAGUGAAGUCACCGGUUUUCAAGUGGCAUGAAUGAAUGGGAGAUAUGCUUAAGCUAGAUGGAUUGAAAGAGGAAACGUAAUGAAGUAUUCAAACUGCCGCUGGUGUAUUUUGGAAGGAACUCUCAAAGUAUUUGUCUAACUUUAGUCUAGUCUGUCAAUAUCUGUAGGUACUUAUUGGUUAACUUAUAUAAACAUGGUUUGCACAUGGUAGUAUAACAAAGAAAUGUUCUCUUACUGAGGUUCUGU